GACAGAGGAUGCAAGCGUUAUCCGGAAUGAUUGGGCGUAAAGCGUCUGUAGGCGGCUUUUUAAGUCCGCCGUGAAAUCCCAGGGCUCAACCCUGGACAGGCGGUGGAAACUACCAAGCUGGAGUACGGUAGGGGCAGAGGGAAUUUCCGGUGGAGCGGUGAAAUGCGUAGAGAUCGGGAGGAACAUCUGUGGCGAAGGCGGCCAUCUGGACCAGCACUGACACUGAGGCACGAAAGCGUGGGGAGCAAACAGG
rnacentral:rRNA from 1 species